AGCAGCCGCGGUAAUUCCAGCUCCAAUAGCGUAUAUUAAAGUUGUUGCAGUUAAAAAGCUCGUAGUUGAACUUCAGGCCUGGCUGGACGGUCCGCCCUCUGGGUGAGAACUGUCUGUGGUCGGGUCCUACCUUCUGGCGAAGCGUCAUGGCCUUAACCGGCCGUGGCGGGGAACCAGGACUUUUACUGUGAAAAAUUAGAGUGUUCAAAGCAGGCAGUCGCUUGAAUACAUUAGCAUGGAAUAAUGGAAUAGGACAGUGGUUCUAUUUGUUGGUUUCUAGGACCGUUGUAAUGAUUAAUAGGGAUAGUUGGGGGCAUUAGUAUUCAAUUGUCAGAGGUGAAAUUCCUGGAUUUAUUGAAGACUAACUACUGCGAAAGCAUUUGCCAAGGAUGUUUUCAUUAAUCAAGAACGAAAGUUAGGGGAUCGAAGACGAUCAGAUACCGUCGUAGU
rnacentral:rRNA from 1 species